UACGUAGGGUGCAAGCGUUGUCCGGAAUUAUUGGGCGUAAAGAGCUCGUAGGCGGUCUGGUCGCGUCGGCCUGUGGAAAUCCCGAGGCUCAACCUCGGGUCUGCAGUCGAUACGGGCAAACUAGAGUAUUGCAGGGGAGACUGGAAUUCCUGGUGAGCGGUGAAAUGCGCAGAUAUCAAGGAGGAACACCGAUGGCGAAGGCGGUCUCUGGGGCC
rnacentral:rRNA from 1 species